CUGCAGCCCGAGUGGUGAUCGAUUUUAUUGAGCCUAAAGCGUCCGUAGCCGGACUAGUAAACCCUUGGGUAAAUUGGGCAGCUUAACUGUCCAAAUUCCGAGGGGACUGCUAGUCUUGGGACCGGGAGAGGUCAGAGGUACUCCAGGGGUAGGGGCUAAAUCCUGUAAUCCUUGGGGGACCACCAGUGGCGAAGGCGUCUGACUAGAACGGAUCCGACGGUAAGGCACGAAACCCUGGGGCGCGAACCGGAUUAGAUACCCGAGUAGUCC
rnacentral:rRNA from 1 species